rnacentral:rRNA from 1 species
CUGGGGAGGACUGCCGGUGGAUAAACCGGAGGAAGGCGGGGAUGACGUCAAGUCCUCAUGGCCCUUACAUCCCGGGCUACACACGUGCUACAAUGGCAGGUACAGAGGGCUGCGAAGCUGCGAGGUGGAGCGAAUCCCAGAAAACCUGUCUCAGUCCGGAUUGAAGUCUGCAACUCGACUUCAUGAAGGCGGAAUCGCUAGUAACCGCGAAUCAGCAGGUCGCGGUGAAUACGUUCCCGGGCCUU